UACAGGGGGUGCAAACGUUGCUCGGAAUCAUUGGGCGUAAAGCGCAGGUAGGCGGUUCGUUAUGUCGGAUGUGAAAGCCCUUGGCUUAACCGAGGAAGUGCAUCCGAAACUGGCGAGCUAGAGUACUAAAGAGGAUCGCGGAAUUCCCGGUGUAGAGGUGAAAUUCGUAGAUAUCGGGAAGAACACCCGUGGCGAAGGCGGCUCUCUGGGACGGUACUGACGCUGAGACGCGAAAGCGUGGGGAGCGAACAGG
rnacentral:rRNA from 1 species